UACGUAGGCAGCGAGCGUUGUUCGGAAUUACUGGGCGUAAAGAGUGUGUAGGCGGUGCUCUAAGUUCGGUGUGAAAUCUCCUGGCUUAACUGGGAGGGUGCGCCGGAAACUGGAGUGCUUGAGCGUGGGAGAGGAAAGCGGAAUUCCUGGUGUAGCGGUGAAAUGCGUAGAUAUCAGGAGGAACACCUGUGGUGUAGACGGCUUUCUGGACCAUUGCUGACGCUGAGGCGCGAAAGCGUGGGGAGCGAACAGG
rnacentral:rRNA from 1 species